rnacentral:rRNA from 1 species
GAUGAACGCUAGCGGCAGGCUUAAUACAUGCAAGUCGAGCGGUAAGGCCCUUUCGGGGGUACACGAGCGGCGUACGGGUGCGUAACACGUAUGCAACCUGCCUUCAACAGGGGGAUAGCCCGGGGAAACCCGGAUUAAUACCCCAUAAAACAGGGAACCCGCAUGGGUAUAUUGUUAAAGGCUUCGGCCGGUUGAAGAUGGGCAUGCGGCUGAUUAGCUAGUUGGUAGGGUAACGGCCUACCAAGGCGACGAUCAGUAACUGGUCUGAGAGGAUGACCAGUCACACGGGCACUGAGACACGGGCCCGACUCCUACGGGAGGCAGCAGUAGGGAAUAUUGGACAAUGGGCGAAAGCCUGAUCCAGCCAUGCCGCGUGCAGGAUGAAGGCCCUCUGGGUUGUAAACUGCUUUUAUCAGAGGAAAAUUCUUUGGAUUCUUCCGAAGUUGAUGGUAUCUGAUGAAUAAGCACCGGCUAACUCCGUGCCAGCAGCCGCGGUAAAGUCUAGCA